GUAGCUAGGCUGAUGCCAUGGCACUCUACCCCAGAUGACAGAAUGAGACUCUGUCUCUUUUUUCUUUAAUAAUUAAACCCAAAAGGUAGCUGUAGUAAGAAGGGUGACGUGGCAGGAGACUCUGUCUCAAAAAAAAAAAAAAAAAAAAGAAUUCAGUGAUGAUAAGUUGAAGCACUUAAUGUGAGAACUCCAUUAAUUCUACUCCUGUUAGGAAAGUUAAUUUCAGGAAAUAUUAUUUGAAAAGAAAACCAAACAAAACCUUAAAAGGUACUUUAAUCAGUCUUGUGCUGAGACUAUAAAGAAUUCAUUCUGACAUUCUUAUUUCUUGAGGCUACAUCAUUAGCUGGAGUGUGAUGGUGUACUCGUGUGCAGUUGUUUCCUCUCACCUGCCAGAAGUUCACUGUUAGGAGGCCUGUGAGGGGUCAGCUGGAAGAAUGCUGGUUUAUCCUUCAGUUUGUACAGUGGGUGCUGGUGAUGAGUUUGGGGGUACUUCAGCUCUGUAAGCAGCCAGCAUUCUUCCAGCCCUUAAUCACGUGAACUUACCUGCUUCUGCACUCACGGAAGGUAGCCUGUUUGGAUAGUAGCUGGUAGACGUUGCCUGUUUUAUUGGGGAGUUGAUUGGAACUCUUGAAAUAGCAUCAACAUUUGCGUGCUCUGAUUCUUUGAUCAGAGAUGGUGUGGCAUUCAUGGCUUUUCCACCCAGUCCCUUGGUCGCCUUCAAACGUAAUUGAAAGUGCUGCUCCAAUUACUGAAAGAUGAUUGUCAUUCCACGUAGCAUAAUGUGCCACAAGGAGUUUUCUCAUUCCUAGUCUUUGGACUUCAUAACAUUGGAAUUGUUUUUUCAUAAUUUCCAACAUUCCAUAAAUAUUUGUCCAGGACAAAGAAAAGGAAUGCGGAUCUUUACUCUUUUCAUAUAAAUAACUUUGUACACAUGACUUCCUGCUUUCAUUAUGAAGAAGAAACUAGCUCCCUUGUAUGGUAACUCCAAAAUUAAAAGAUGGUGCAUGUCUAAGGGGUUGAAUAUAUUUUGUAAAACUCUAAACACAUUUGUAUUUCUGUGCUGUUGUAAAGUUUACCUUUUUACUUAUAUUAAUUAAAGAUAUAGAAACUAUAUAUUUAAAUCAUGUAAAUGGAACACAAUUUAGGGUUUUUUUCCAAUCUUAUUUUUCAUCAGCUUCUCACACAUAGUAUGCUGCUCAAAUUUUUUGUGUGUGCAAUAUAAACAUUUGAACAUGUCAGUCAGGUACUGAGCCAGAAAAGGUCAUUGAAGUUUUCAGAAAGCUUCUGUCCUUAGAAAAUAUUUGGUUGUUUUCUUGAAAUAUUAGUAUUUUAUAGCUGGAAAAAUAAGAUCAAGACAUGUUUUUCAGGCCACUUGGUCAUUGGUUCCUAAAUUUAGGAAACAUUUGAUUAAUGAGUUGGUGAAGGCAUUUAGUGGUUACAAAAGUAGUUUAAAUAUUUGAGAUUAAAGGCUUUUCACAAACCCUCAAAAUUUAGCUUAGAAAACUUAGAAAGUUUUCUAAAGAAGUUUAGCUGUGGCACGUUUUGAUCAGAAAGGUAGUUUCUCUUUGCUCUGGUAGUUUUAAAGUUUGUACUAGUUCUUUGUUGUCAUUUGUUUAAAAAGAAAUAUUAAAAUUAUAAAUCACAUCUAAUUAUACUGAAUUGUAAAACUUCUAUUGUAAUUUUAUUUUAGAAAAAUGAGAAUAAAAUUAUCCCAUUUGUCCUGCA